rfam:Dipodomys ordii contig_29103, whole genome shotgun sequence.
GGGAAUGUGGCUUAGUGGUAGAGUGCUUGCCUUGCAUGCAUGAAGCCCUGGGUUUGAUUCCUCAGCACCA